rnacentral:tRNA from 1 species
UGGGCUAUUAGCUCAGUUGGUAGAGCGCGCCCCUGAUAACGGGCGAGGUCUCUGGUUCAAGUCCAGGAUAGCCCA